UACGUAGGCAGCAAGCGUUGUUCGGAGUUACUGGGCGUAAAGGGUGUGUAGGCGGUUCCCUAAAGUUUGGUGUGAAAUCUCCCGGCUCAACUGGGAGGGUGCGCCGAAAACUGGGGGGCUAGAGUNCUGGAUGGGAGAGUGGAAUUCCUGGUGUAGCGGUGAAAUGCGNAGAUAUCAGGAGGAACACCUGUGGUGUAGACGGCUCUCNGGANAGUAACUGACGCUGAGANACGAAAGCGUGGGNAGCAAACAGG
rnacentral:rRNA from 1 species